GCAGGGGAAGAAAGUAACUUUUUUCUCUUCCUCUUCCCUCUCCCCAGCCCCAUCAUCCACAGAGUUUGAAGGGAAGCUACAAGACCAACCAGCAGGGAGCAGAAGCAUAUACUCAACCAGGGCUUCUUAAAAUUUUUCCACUCUCAACCCCUUAAUCCUGGACCUGAGACAUGGACUUUUAUACUCAGGAACUCAUCUGAGUAAAUUGCCCAGGAAACACUGAAGAGAAAGAGGGAUCCAUGAAGACUAUGAGGACUUUUGUGCUCUACAAGACCAGAAGGAGCUACAGAAAAUAAGCCACAGAAUCUCAGAAUUGGAAGGUAUAUUAAAGUUAACCAUGUCCAGCCAAUAUCUAAACAAGAAUUCCUUGCAUUGCAUCUGAUACAGAUCACUAGCUCCCAAG